AACGAACGCUGGCGGCGUGGAUAAGACAUGCAAGUCGAGCGAUGAUUACGGGGUAGCAAUAUUCCGUAGUUGGAGCGGCGCAAGGGUGAGUAAUACGUGGGUAAUCUGCCAUGAAGUCUGGAAUAACUUGUUGAAAGACGAGCUAAUGCCGGAUGUGAAAAGCGGGAGGCAUCUCCUGGUUUUCAAAGCUGGGGACCGAAAGGCCUGGCGCUUCAUGAUGAGCCCGCGGCCUAUCAGCUAGUUGGUGAGGUAACGGCCCACCAAGGCAAAGACGGGUAGCUGGUCUGAGAGGACGACCAGCCACACUGGAACUGAGACACGGUCCAGACACCUACGGGUGGCAGCAGUCGAGAAUUUUUCACAAUGGGCGAAAGCCUGAUGGAGCGACGCCGCGUGGGGGAUGAAUGGCUUCGGCCCGUAAACCCCUGUCAUUCGCGAGCAAACGUUAUUAUUUAAAGAUGAUAGCCUGAUAGUAGCGAAAGAGGAAGGGACGG
rnacentral:rRNA from 1 species